UACGAAGGGGGCUAGCGUUGCUCGGAAUCACUGGGCGUAAAGCGCACGUAGGCGGACUUUUAAGUCAGGGGGUGAAAUCCUGGAGCUCAACUCCAGAACUGCCUUUGAUACUGGAAGUCUUGAGUUCGAGAGAGGUGAGUGGAACUGCGAGUGUAGAGGUGAAAUUCGUAGAUAUUCGCAAGAACACCAGUGGCGAAGGCGGCUCACUGGCUCGAUACUGACGCUGAGGUGCGAAAGUGUGGGGAGCAAACAGG
rnacentral:rRNA from 1 species